GGCAGCGCUGGCUGGGGCGGACAGGCGUGCUAAGAAGCUGCAGGUGUGCUGUGUGAGCAGCACUAGCUUCUCGUGGACUCAGUCGGAGUCAGAAAGAUCCACCGAUGGAGAGCAAGUGUCACCUGUAGUGUGGCCUGAGCAGCCGCAGCGAGGAGCGUCAUGAGGGUGGAGGAUCACAGUCAGCCCACCUGAUUGCUGAACGGAGAGAGACACUGACCCACAGCUAGUUUCCGGCCGCACUGGUGCAGAGCUCCACAGAGAACACGGGACCCAAGACUGAGCCAAAGCAGUUGCAUACCAGGGUGAGGCGUGGGAAUUAUUGCAGGGGCCCCAGGGUCAAAAAGCCAAGGAAGCCCAGAUGGAGAACCAAGUCGUGGGAGCCCCCAUGGCAAC